rnacentral:rRNA from 1 species
UACGGGGGGGGCAAGCGUUGUUCGGAAUUACUGGGCGUAAAGGGCUCGUAGGCGGCCAACUAAGUCAGACGUGAAAUCCCUCGGCUUAACCGGGGAACUGCAUCUGAUACUGGAUGGCUUGAGGGCGGUAGGGGCUGGUGGAAUUCCCGGUGUAGUGGUGAAAUGCGUAGAGAUCGGGAGGAACACCUGUGGCGAAGGCGGCCAGCUGGGCCGACCCUGACGCUGAGGCGCGAAGGCGUGGGGAGCGAACGGG